rnacentral:lncRNA from 1 species
ACUGAGGGAUGACUGUACUUAAAAAAUAGGCACACAAUCUCAUGAGUUAUGGUCACUUACAUACGAAGGCUUUUCUGGUUGUAAUUGUUGUUUUGUCAUGAAGAUAUUAAAGCCUUGGUUUCAGACAAUUUUUAGGGAAUUAUUUCUUUUCUUUUCUUUUUUUUUUUUUGAGACGGAAUCUCCCUCUGUCGCCCAGGCUGGAGUGCAGUGGCACCAUCUCGGCUUACCGCAACCUCCGCCUCCUGGGUUCAAACAAUACUCCUACCUUGGCCUCCUGAGUAGCUGGGAUUACAGGAAUCAAGGUUGCUAAGAGACCACCUGUGCUGAAUACACUUUGUUCUGGCAAGAGCAGAAAACUGAGAAGCCGUGUUACCUACCACUACCUGGGAUUAAUUCAGGGAGCGGGAUAAUUCUGGAUAUG